rnacentral:rRNA from 1 species
CCUACGGGAGGCAGCAGUCGGGAAUUUUGGGCAAUGGGCGAAAGCCUGACCCAGCAACGCCGCGUGAAGGAUGAAAUCCCUCGGGAUGUAAACUUCGCAAGAAUGGGAAGAAUUAGUAGGGGUCAAUACCCCCUAUGAUGACGGUACCAUUUGUAAGCUCCGGCUAACUCCGUGCCAGCAGCCGCGGUAAU